ensembl:lncRNA
UAUUUCCAAAUUAAAAGGCUCCCAGUAAACUACAAAAUGUGGAUACACCAGCACAAGGUAAUAGAAUGGCUACAUUUAAUUAUAAUGUUUACAUUUAUCAAAUGUUAACUUUUUCAGCAUACACACAAAUGCAAUAAGAAAUGAAUGUAACAUCAGGUGUGUGAGCAUCAAGUCCCUCCCCUCAAAAGAUCAGCCUGGCACUAGUAAUUUUGUUUUCCAGGUGUUUCUGCAGUUCUAGAAAUGGAAAUCACCAGUGGGAGGUUGGCAGGAAGCCCUCUCAUUCGUCACCCCAAGUGGUGGGCCUGGUGCCCUCCAUCGGCCUGCCCUGACAGCCACCUCCCAGUGCCCAGAGGGGAAACCAGUCUUGCUUGGGCUAGUGGCUGAGUGUUGCAAGCCCACGACGGACUGCCCACGCCAUGAAUGAUGCAAGUGGUUGGUGGUCCUUUCUCUUGACCCUGGUUGUCAUGUCUUGAAGAUUGUAAUAUUUUGAAGGCAGGAGCUAGACUUACUUGAAUCAACACUGGAACCCCAACACAGAGCACUGGAUAUACUUCCCAGGGGUGGACACUGAGGCUGAGUCUAUCAAACAUGCUGUGAAGGAGUGUCCUUGCACCAGUACCACUGGAAAGGAGAGAACAGAUGCAGGAGUGGACAAAGGGAGAACCACACAGCCUCAGCCAACCCAACAGGGCGCUCCAGGCCUAGACCUGCCCUUCAAGGUUGUCCUGGGGCCUGGAUGCUGGACCUCCAUCCAUCCAAGGAUGUGGGCCAACCUGGAAAGGGCCUAUGGGACUUGGCCCAGGCAGCUCUCUUCAGCUGAGGCAGUUGCCGUCACAGCAUCCAUCACACUUGUGAAGAGUCUCUGCGUGUCAGCACGACGUAGCGAAUCGAUCUGGCUGGGUGAGCCGCGACAAACCCCACAGUAAAAAGCAUCAGCAAAUUUAAAGCCUCGUUCGAGGUCUUGAUUCACCAUAAACUAAGCUGCCGGCAGCAGGCAUCGACACUUCUUCCACCGCGGUUGAUACCGGGAUUUAUUGACUUGCUGUUAAGAUGUUGAUAUUGACCAAGACUGAGUUCCAAAUGAAAAGGCCUAUGGCAGUCUAUCUUUAUUGCUCGGAUAAUCCGAGGACUUGCUAAUCCUUCCUUGUUCCACUCAAUACUGUUGCAGAAAUUCUUUUGGAACGGAGAGACCAUCACUUAGACACAAUAAGAUGCUCUUUCCCCACAAGGCCUCCUGAAAUGGGGAUGGAGGUCAAGCAUGUUGAGAACAUAACCAGAGUGUUGGAAACUCUAUUCAUGCCUGCACCCAAAACCAUGAUACCUUUAACUUUUUAGAGACCCAGCUUUCUCCUCUUGGGAAACAGCCCAGAAGAAGACACAACAGGACUUCAAAUGGAAUCUGUUCAUGAACAGUGUCUACUUCCCUUCCCCCACUGGUCCUCUUCAGGGCUGUAGGCUUGCAUAUCUCCAACCCAGACUAAUGAAUUCCAGUCCCAGGGGACAACUAUGAUGUCACCCUUAGUGCUGGCCCCUGACAGUGAAAUUAAUGUGACAUUUGGUUCUUGCUAAUUUCAAGGCCCACUAUGAACACAGACAAAGAAGGAAAAAUUUAUUACCUGCUAAUUUAUUUUCUCAUUGAAAUACAGUCUGCAGCCCUCACUUUAGAGGAGGAUAUGUUUGCAGUAGAGUCAUAUAUGGUGACUUUUGAGUUAUUUUGGAUGUCAGGGUCC